rnacentral:rRNA from 1 species
UGUUCUAACCAUAAACUAUGCCAGCCAGCGAUCCGCCGUUGUCCUACGAUGACUCGGCGGGCAGCUUCCGGGAAACCAGAGCUUUUGGGUUCCGGGGGAAGUAUGGUUGCAAAGCUGAAACUUAAAGGAAUUGACGGAAGGGCACCACCAGGAGUGGAGCCUGCGGCUUAAUUUGACUCAACACUGGAAAACUCACCAGGCCCGGACACCGGAAGGAUUGACAGAUUGAUGGCUCUUUCUUGAUUCGGUGGGUGGUGGUGCAUGGCCGUUCUUAGUUGGUGGAGCGAUUUGUCUGGUUAAUUCCGAUAACGAGCGAGACUCUAGCCUGCUAACUAGGCGUACCCGGUAUCCACAAUAGUGCUACCGGCGAGCUAAUUUCUUCUUAGAGGGACUGGCGGCUUCUAGCCGCACGAGAAUGAGCAAUAACAGGUCUGUGAUGCCCUUAGAUGUCCUGGGCCGCACGCGCGCUACACUGGGGUAAGCAGCGUGUCUUCCCUGUCCGAAAGGACCGGGUAACCCGCUGAACGUGCCUUAAGAUUGGGACUGGGGAUUGGAAUUAUUCCCCAAGAACGAGGAAUUCCUAGUAAGCGCGAGUCAUAAGCUGGCGUUGAUUUAGUCCCUGCCCUUUGUACACACCGCCCGUCGCUACUACCGAUUGAAUGAUUUAGUGAGGUCUUUGGACCGGUGCGCGAAGGCCGCUUCGCGGUCUACGGCGUUGCUGGGAAGUUGACCGAGCUUGAUCAUUUAGAGGAAGUAAAAGUCGUAACAAGGUUUCCGUAGUG